AUCUACCUUUUGGUCGGGGAUAACAGUGGGAAACGACUGCUAAUACCGGAUGAGCCUACGGGUAAAAAUUUAUUGCCAAAAGAAGAGCUCGCGCCUGAUUAGCUAGAUGGUGGGGUAAAAGCCUACCAUGGCGACGAUCAGUAGCUUCUGAGAGGAUGAGCAACCACACUGGGACUGAGACACGGCCCAGACUCCUACGGGAGGCAGCAGUGGGGAAUUUUCCGCAAUGGGCGAAAGCCUGACGGAGCAAUACCGCGUGAGGGAGGAAGGCUCUUGGGUCGUAAACCUCAAAACUUAGGGAAGAAGAAAGUGACGGUACCUAAUAUAAGCAUCGGCUAACUCCGUGCCAGCAGCCGCGGUAAUACGGAGGAUGCGAGCGUUAUCCGGAAUCAUUGGGCGUAAAGAGUCUGUAGGUGGCACUUCAAGUCUGCUGUCAAAGACCGAAGCUUAACUUCGGGCAGGCGGUGGAAACUGAAGAGCUAGAGUAAAGCAGGGGUAGAGGGAAUUCCCAGUGUAGCGGUGAAAUGCGUAGAGAUUGGGAAGAACACCAGUGGCGAAGGCGCUCUACUGGGCUAAAACUGACACUGAGAGACGAAAGCUAGGGUAGCGAAAGGGAUUAGAUACCCCUGUAGUCCUAGCGGUAAACGAUGGAUACUAGGCGUAGACCCAUUUAGAUGGGACUGUGUCGAAGCAAACGCGUUAAGUAUCCCGCCUGGGGAGUACGCACGCAAGUGUGAAACUCAAAGGAAUUGACGGGGACCCGCACAAGCGGUGGAGUAUGUGGUUUAAUUCGAUGCAACGCGAAGAACCUUACCAAGGCUUGACAUCCCACGAAUUUUGCCGAUAGGUGAAAGUGCCUUAGGGAACGUGGAGACAGGUGGUGCAUGGCUGUCGUCAGCUCGUGCCGUGAGAUGUUGGGUUAAGUCCCGCAACGAGCGCAACCCUCGUCCUUAGUUGCCAGCAUUAAGUUGGGGACUCUAGGGAGACCGCCGGGGAAAACUCGGAGGAAGGUGAGGAUCACGUCAAGUCAGCAUGCCCCUUAUGUCUUGGGCUACACACGUACUACAAUGGUUGGGACAAAGGGAAGCAAAGCCGCGAGGUGGAGCGAAUCUCAUCAAACCCAGCCUCAGUUCAGAUUGCAGGCUGAAACUCGCCUGCAUGAAGGAGGAAUCGCUAGUAAUCGCAGGUCAGCAUACUGCGGUGAAUCCGUUCCCGGGUCUUGUACACACUGCCCGUCACACCAUGGAAGUUGGUCACGCCCGAAGUCGUUACUCUAACC
rnacentral:rRNA from 1 species